GAUUAAAGAGCUUGGUAAAAGCAUACAAUUUUUAAUUGUGAGAAAUCUUAUAAGGUUUUAAUCA
rnacentral:tRNA from 3 species